GACGAACGCUGGCGGCGUGCUUAACACAUGCAAGUCGAACGGAAAGGCCCUGCUUUUGUGGGGUGCUCGAGUGGCGAACGGGUGAGUAACACGUGAGUAACCUGCCCUUGACUUUGGGAUAACUUCAGGAAACUGGGGCUAAUACCGGAUAGGAGCUCCUGCUGCAUGGUGGGGGUUGGAAAGUUUCGGCGGUUGGGGAUGGACUCGCGGCUUAUCAGCUUGUUGGUGGGGUAGUGGCUUACCAAGGCUUUGACGGGUAGCCGGCCUGAGAGGGUGACCGGCCACAUUGGGACUGAGAUACGGCCCAGACUCCUACGGGAGGCAGCAGUGGGGAAUAUUGCACAAUGGGCGGAAGCCUGAUGCAGCAACGCCGCGUGCGGGAUGACGGCCUUCGGGUUGUAAACCGCUUUCGCCUGUGACGAAGCGUGAGUGACGGUAAUGGGUAAAGAAGCACCGGCUAACUACGUGCCAGCAGCCGCGGUGAUACGUAGGGUGCGAGCGUUGUCCGGAUUUAUUGGGCGUAAGGGGCUCGUAGGUGGUUGAUCGCGUCGGAAGUGUAAUCUUGGGGCUUAACCCUGAGCGUGCUUUCGAUACGGGUUGACUUGAGGAAGGUAGGGGAGAAUGGAAUUCCUGGUGGAGCGGUGGAAUGCGCAGAUAUCAGGAGGAACACCAGUGGCGAAGGCGGUUCUCUGGGCCUUUCCUGACGCUGAGGAGCGAAAGCGUGGGGAGCGAACAGGCUUAGAUACCCUGGUAGUCCACGCUGUAAACGGUGGGUACUAGGUGUGGGGUCCAUUCCACGGGUUCCGUGCCGUAGCUAACGCUUUAAGUACCCCGCCUGGGGAGUACGGCCGCAAGGCUAAAACUCAAAGGAAUUGACGGGGCCCCGCACAAGCGGCGGAGCAUGCGGAUUAAUUCGAUGCAACGCGUAGAACCUUACCUGGGUUUGACAUGGAUCGGGAGCGCUCAGAGAUGGGUGUGCCUCUUUUGGGGUCGGUUCACAGGUGGUGCAUGGCUGUCGUCAGCUCGUGUCGUGAGAUGUUGGGUUAAGUCCCGCAACGAGCGCAACCCUUGUUCACUGUUGCCAGCACGUUAUGGUGGGGACUCAGUGGAGACCGCCGGGGUCAACUCGGAGGAAGGUGGGGAUGACGUCAAGUCAUCAUGCCCCUUAUGUCCAGGGCUUCACGCAUGCUACAAUGGCUGGUACAGAGAGUGGCGAGCCUGUGAGGGUGAGCGAAUCUCGGAAAGCCGGUCUCAGUUCGGAUUGGGGUCUGCAACUCGACCUCAUGAAGUCGGAGUCGCUAGUAAUCGCAGAUCAGCAACGCUGCGGUGAAUACGUUCCCGGGGCU
rnacentral:rRNA from 1 species